ensembl:snoRNA
AACAUCUGGGAAUGUUUUUGUUGAGCUAGUGGACAAAGACUAAAGACAGGUAUAAAAAUAGAUCCUCUUUUGCAACCCAGAACUCAUCAUUUAGUAUGAGUUUUGAUGUUUUGAUACAUAUAAGGACUAU